UACGUAGGGUCCGAGCGUUGUCCGGAAUUACUGGGCGUAAAGAGCUCGUAGGUGGUUUGUCGCGUUGUUCGUGAAAACUCACAGCUCAACUGUGGGCGUGCGGGCGAUACGGGCAGACUUGAGUACUGCAGGGGAGACUGGAAUUCCUGGUGUAGCGGUGGAAUGCGCAGAUAUCAGGAGGAACACCGGUGGCGAAGGCGGGUCUCUGGGCCGAUAUCGACGCUGGAGGUGCGAAAGCGUGGGGAGCAAACAGG
rnacentral:rRNA from 1 species